rnacentral:hammerhead_ribozyme from 1 species
AUUCAGCUGAUGAGUCCAAAUUAGGACAAAAUGCAAGUCCUGGAU